UCCUACGGGAGGCAGCAGUGGGGAAUAUUGCACAAUGGGCGCAAGCCUGAUGCAGCCAUGCCGCGUGUAUGAAGAAGGCCUUCGGGUUGUAAAGUACUUUCAGCGAGGAGGAAGGCGAUAAGGUUAAUAACCUUUGCAUGACGACC
rnacentral:rRNA from 1 species